CCCUUAGAUGUUCUGGGCUGCACGCGUGCUACACUGAUGCAUUCAGCAAGUAUACUUCCUUUGCCGAGAGGCCUGGGCAAUCUUGUAAACAUGCAUCGUGAUAGGGAUAGAUUUUUGCAAUUAUUAAUCUUUAACGAGGAAUUCCUAGUAAACGCAGAUCAUCAAUCUGCAUUGAUUACGUCCCUGCCCUUUGUACACACUGCCCGUCGCACCUACCGAUUGAAUGGUCCGGUGAAGCCUCGGGAUUAUGAACAAUGCCUUUGUUGGCAUUGUUUGUGAGAACUUGUCUAAACCUUAUCAUUUAGAGGAAGGUGAAGUCGUAACA
rnacentral:rRNA from 1 species